rnacentral:lncRNA from 1 species
CUCCGCUCCUGCUCCAGCAGCACACUGUGAUCCACCGGCAAGGAGGGACACCUUGGAGGGACGCCAAUAAGGCAUCCGAUAAGAUAAGUCUUAUAAAAUAUAUAGAUUUAUGAUAAUUAAGACUGAGCUAACAGAUGAGGAAUCCUAGUCAUUGGCCAAGCAGCUUUAAACCUAAUAUAAGAUUCUGUGUAUUCAUUUGGGCCUAACUCGGGCAGGCGGCUGGCAUAAAGCGCACAUGUGGCAGUGGGGCUCGGCAGCUUUUGGCAGAAAGAUUUAGCAUAACAGAAUGGUUUCAGUGAGCAGGAUGACCCCAUGCCCCAAUGUUCCCAGAGAAAGAGGGAAACCUGCCACCACAGCCUGCCCUGUGGGGCACUGAGAGGCAUCAGAGCAGCUUCCAUAGGCUUGUGCCAUCCCGGCACUUCUGGUGUUUAGACUUGGCAUUUCUGAGAUGAUAAAGACAGAUCCAGAUAAAGAAAAACCUCUAAACAUUUACACUACAUUUAAAAAUAUAUGUGGGAUUGUGAGAAAAAAAGUAACAGGAGGAAAUAGAGUAGCCAGUUGUAGUGGCUAACGCCGAUAGGAUUUACUGAAGGAAGCAGAGGCAGAAGGAUUUCCACAAAGAAACCCUGUCUCGGGAAAAAAGAAACAAAAACAAAAGUAAAAAUAAAGUAAUAAAAAAGUCACAUAAAGAUAAAAAAUAUACAGAGAAUGUGAAUACUAUAUGCCAUAUUAUUGUCUUUAAAUUGUUUGAUUGCCAAGGAAAAACUUAUGGCUGCUAAAAUACAUUUGAUUAUAAAUACUGCUAAAUUAAUCCAACUUAUACAUUUUAAAAAUGCUUUGACUUCAAAAUUUAAGUCUAAGGACAGGCUACUUGGAAAGAGAAUUUCUGUUGGUGUUUCUACAGAAAAUAAAAAGCUAUGGAUUCCUUCCAGACUAAUAUGGUUUGAUCAAGCAAGACCCCCUAAAGCUGACUUGAUACAGCCUUACAGACUACAAAACCAAGGACUUGGUCAGGUUUCUAUGUUUUAUCAUGAUCCUUAUCAUAUAUGAACAUCAUCCCCAAUCAGCAGAAAGCAACUUAGAAAGAACGACGCCCAUAUUCCCAAAUAUUGUUUUAAAUAUUUGUUUUCAUUUAAUGGGGUUGGUUAUAAAUAAUAAUAAACAUAGUCAAAUUUUUUAAAGAAAAAAGGGAAAUAGGAUAUAGGAAUGAAUACUUUACAUUGGUAUAGAUUUUCAUUUAUUGAUACAACUUUAAGGUCAUUUUUGUGAUAUGUAUAUGUCGCCUCUUGUUUAGGUAUUGUGUUUAUACAUUUCUUUUAAAAUGAUAUACAUAAUUAAAUACAGGUUAUAUAGUUACCUAUAAUAGUCAGAACUUAUAAUUAGGUUAGUUAGGUUUUCUAGAUUUACAGAGAUGUAUUUGAGAUGGUUAGGUAUUCUUCAAACCUUUCAAAGACCUACAGAAAUAUGGCAUUUAAAUGGUUUAGGGUUUAUCUUGGCAAUGAGACACAACUGCUCCUGGCACACCAAUUAUGUCAGAAAGGAGGAUGGGAAUUGAAGAAAUUUGUUAUGGAGUUUUCUUUCAACAUGGCAAGAUUAGCCAUUUGGGCAAGAAACUGCUCUUGCCUGGACUGUUUGUUGCUGAAUAAACUGGACAUGCAGGACCCACAAGAAAGUGACUGCUGAACUUACAAAACAAGACAGUACUAAAGGGUUCAUGUUGAAAUGGAGAAAUGUGACAGACACACUGUGGCCUAUGGGCUGAAGAAGGAUGCCCCAACAUUACAGAGAAACUUUGGGUGACUGUCCAGGUAGUGAGAUGUCUCUGUCAAUUCUAGAGUUUAUAUAUUAUCCUUCUGUGGUCUUUGAUAGAGUUGAAGACAGAUAAUUAUUUUUAUAGUUUUCUUCACUUAUUAUAAAAGAUAAGUUAUCUUUCUUUUAAUUUAGAUAAAAAGAGGAGAUGAUGGGGAAUGUACUAUGUAUGUUUAUCUUAUUGAUUGUUAAAUAAAAUACUGUUUGGCCAAUGAGACAGCAAGUUAGAUGGGACUAGGAGUCAAAGAGGAUUCUGGGAAAUGUAGUAGAGAAGUGAUGAUCCAGGCAGGAAGUGAUAUAGCAAAGAGACUCAUAUUUAAAGAAGGAGGAACAGGAAACAUCCCUCUUUUCCCCUCUGUCCUGCUCCAGUGGCACAAUGUGAUCCACCGGCAAGGAGGGACACCUUGGAGGGACACCAAUAAGGCAUCCGAUAAGUCUUAUAAAAUAUAUAGAUUUAUGAUAAUUAAGACUGAGCUAACAGAUGAGGAAUCCUAGUCAUUGGCCAAGCAGCUUUGAACCUAAUAUAAGUUUCUGUGUAUUCAUUUGGGCCCUAACUCAGGCGGGCGGCUGGCGUAAAGCUCACAUGUGGCAGUGGGGCUCAGGCAUCUUUUGGCAGAGAGAUUUAUCACAACAUAUGACUUCUCAGAAAUUAGCAGUUAUACCACAUGUCUAUCAACAGUACUACUAAGGAAUUUUGACUUAUUAAGAAAUAUUACUACAAUGCAUAGGUAUUGCUUUCUAUUUUGAUAUUCACAUAUACAUCUGCUGGCUUCCAUGCUGUCCCCAACAAUUAAUGUCCACUUUAUAUCUUAGCAAUCAUGAUCCCAAAGGAAAAAUUAUGUCAAGUGAGAUGGGCCUUUACAAUAUGUAGUCCUGCAAUAGUCUCUGUCAAUCCACAUCUGGUUAAAUACAACUGUUGUGGACUUGAAAUCCAGGUCUUCAAGAAGCCACCCUCAGGAAGGGGGGGGUCACAUUCUGAUAUUUAUCAGAAAGAAUAUACAUAAGCUGGAGAUAUAGAUCAGGGGUUAGGAGUGCUUCCUGCUCACAUAGAGGACCUGGCUUUGUGUCCAAUACCCACACAGUGUUUUACAAGUACCUGUAACUCCAGCUCCAGGGUAUCCAAUACCCUCUUCUCACUUAUGCAGGCUCCUGCACACAUAUCAUGUAUAUAGAUAUCCAUAAAAUAAUUAUUUAAAAAGAGUAUGAGAGUUGCAGCUAUUGUUAAUUCAAUGAUCCUUUCCAGUCUAUCUCAGUGUGGGUAUCUGUCAGAAGCUGUAGGAUCUAAGAUACUAACCCACAUGAAGUCAGUACAUUCACCUGCCACAGUGUCCUCAUUGCCAGCCCAGUAAACACCAUUAGAUUCUGGGGAAACAAACAAUAGGCAGUUAAUACAGGCAGUAGUAAUUUAUUACUGCAGCAGCAGAGUGUGUUCAUUUUAUACCCUUUUAUUAACUCACAUUUCUUACAGGCAACAAGAAAAGAGCAGGAUAUUUGUGUAGGAGAAAUCCAAAGCUUAGGGGCUUGACUUUUUAAAAAUAAACGAUAAGCAUACCUAAACUUGUUCUCAGAGAGAAAUAAUAUCUUGAUUAUUCUGGAGAGCAAACAAACCUGAACUUCAGCUUUGUUGUCUUCCAACAUCAUUUCCUAGACAAACAUCCUUGAAAAUCAGGUCAAGAAUAAAGCAUAUAAAAGCCUUUGGCUAUCAAGCAUGCAGAGAUAUGUAAGAAUCACUUCCAAGGUGACCCUGACUCAACAAAUGAUGAGUACUAUCUGAAGAGCAUAAUUAAACAGGCAGUAUUACAAACACAAACUAUUUGAGCUGUGUGUGAAAGCUGAAAUCUCCAUGGGAGAACUACUCCUCCCAUCCUUCAGUUAUGAAGAGUGUCCUUGGUCCUUGUCACUAUCUUCCCACUCCAAGGCAACUACCAGAGUUGAUCAUAAACUAAUCACUGCUUCUCAUUAAAGGCUUUGUGAUAAACCACCGAAAAAAUUAAUAGAGGUUAGAAAUAAAGCAUUUUGCCACUGACUUAACUCUUCCUUCAAUUUACGAGUGGUUUGUUGAUAUAUCAUUGGGACUGGGCUUUAAAACUCUGAAUUUUGUUGUCCAGGCCAAUUUUUUAAUACUGGUCCAUUUGGCAGUGCUAUGAUGAAAUAGGUAAAUUGAUAUCUGUUAUGGUUGCUGUUGUUUUCUUUCUUUUUUUUUUUUUUUUUGUUUUCAAGUAGAGGCAAGCUAGAGUUUUCUGAAAAAGGAGCCACAGCUGAGUAAAUGCCUUCACCAAAUUGCCUAUAGGCAAGUACUUUGGGCAUUUUUUGUUAAUUAUUGAUGGGGGUGGCUAGCCCACUGGGCAAAGAACUAUAGACAAUUAACAAUGGCUGGGAGAAGGCAAAUAAGGAUCCCCCAGCAAUGAGCCCCCUUAUUAGUUGUCCAAUGCAGACUGGUCAGCCUUGAAACCAUUUAUAUACCAACAACAAAACCAUACACAUGCAUACACAUCCACAUGUGAAAAGAAGAAAGAAAAAGAGGCUAUCAACUUGAAAGUGGGGAGUGAAUAUGUGAGGGGGUUGAUGGAGUGGAUAUGGGAGUCCCUGGAUGGAAGAAAGGGGAAGGAAGUAAUAUAAUUGUAUUUCUUUUAUUAUUAUUAUUAUUAUUAUUUUAAUUAUUAAUUAUCUUUAAUAAUUUGUUAAUUAUUUAAUAUCAAAUUAUUUAAAUAUUUGUGUUUAUUUAAUUGUUUAAUCAUUUAAAUAUUUAAAUAUUUAUUUAGUGAUAAUUAAUAAUUAUUUAUUAUUAAUUAGCUUUAAUUAAAUUACUUCUUUAAUUACUACUCAUAUUUACAUUUCCAUCCCCCCAUUCCCUCUCCCUCCCAUCCAUACCCAUGUUCCCCACCAACCCCAACAACCCCCCCAACCCAUUCCCCAGCUCCUCCCCAAGGAUAGUGAGGCCCUCUACCAGGGACCUUCAAAGGCUGUCAUAUCAUUUGGGGGAGGGCCUAGGCCCUCCUUGCUGUAUCUGGGCUGCAAUAGUAUCCCUCCAUAGGGAAUGGGCUCCCAAAGUCCAUUUGUGUUCUAGGGUUAAAGACUGGCUCCACUGUCAGAGGCCCCAUUGACUGCUUUGGCCUCCUAUCUGACAGCCACAUUCACAGAGCUUGUUCCAUUCCAGUGCUGUUUCUGCAGCAUUAUGACUAGUGUCUCCAUGCAUUCACUAGGUCAGGUCAACUUUCUGUGGGUUUCUGUAACACUGUCUUGGCUUCUUUGCUCAUCCCACCUCCCUCUGCACAAUUGGAUUCCUGGGGUAUGGUUCAGUGCUUAGCUGUGGGUGCCUGUUUCUGCUUCAAACAGCUACUGGAUGAAGGCUCUAGGAAUGGUAACCAAGGUAGACAUCAAUCUCCUUAUAGAGGAAGGGCAUCAAAGGCAUCCUCUCAUACCACUGCCUAGAUUCUUAGAUGGGGUCAUCAAAGUGGAUCCCCUAACAUUGCACCUGUGCCAGACUUCUCUAAAAACCUGUAUUGUCUCCCUCUAACAAGGCAUCUCCUUUUAUGCCCUCCUCUAUUCCUCCCCUGUCUCAGUCCUCUUGUUCUCCUCCCCCUUCCCCUUCUUCCUUUCCCACCUCCUUCCUUUCCACCCAUACCCUGUGCUCCCACUUUGUUCAGGGAUUCUUGUGCCCCUCCCCUUCUUCCAGGGACUAAGACAUCUUCUCUUGUGGUCCUCCUUGUUUCCUAGCUCCUCUGGCAGUGUGGAUUGAAGACUGGUAAUCUUUGCUCUAUGUCUAAAUAUUAUAUAUGAUGAGUACAUACCAUGUUUGUCAUUUUGUGACUGGGUUACCUCACUCAGGAUGGUUUCUUCUAGUUCCAUCCAUUUGCCUGCAAAUUUCAAGAUUCCAUUGUUUUUUUCUGAGGAGUAGUACCCCAUUGUGUAAAUGUACCACAUUUUCUCUAUCCAUUCUUCAGUUGAGGGGCAUGUAGGUUGCUUCCAGGUUCUGGCUAUUACAAAUAAUGCUGCUAUAAACAUAGUUGAACAUAUGUCUUUAUUGUAUGAAUGUGCAUUCUUUGGGUAUAUACCCAAGAGAGGAAUUGUUGGAUCUUGAGGUAGGCUGAUUCCCAUUUUCCUGAGAAACCAACAUACUGAUUUCCAAAGUGGUUGUACAAGUUUGUACUCCCACCAGAAAUGGAGGAGUGUUGCUCUUUCUCCAUAUCCUUCCUAGCAUUGUCAUUGGUGUUAUUGAUUUUAGCCAUUCUGACAGGAGUAGGAUGGUAUCUCAGAGUGGUUUUGAGCUGCAUUUCCCUGAUUGCUAAGGAUGUUAGCCCUUUAUCAAUUGUCUUUCGGCCAUUUUAGAUUCCUCUGUUGAGAAUUCUCUAUUUAGUUCUGCACCCCAACUUUUAAUUGCAUUGUUUGGUGUUUUGGUGGCUAGCUUCUUGAGUUCAUUGUAUAUUUUGGUAAUCAGCCUUCUGUCAGAUGUGGGGUUGGUGAAUAUCUUUUCCCAUUCUGUGUGCUGGUGUUUUGUCUUGUUGACUGUGUCCUUUCCCUUACAGAAGCUUCUCAGUUUCAUGAGGUCCCAUUUAUUAAUUGUCGAUCUCAAUGUUUGUGCUACUGGUGUUAUGUUCAGAAAUCAGUCUCCUGUACCAAUUUGUUUGAGGGUACCACCUAUCUUCUCUUCUAGGAAGUUCAGUGUGACUGAAUUUAUGUUGAGGUCUUUGAUCCAUUUGGACUUAAGUUUUGUGCAUAGCGAUGGACAUGGAUCUAUCUGCAGUCUUCUACAUGCCAGCAUCCAGUUAAUGCCAGCACCAUUUGUUGAAUAUGCUUCCUUUAUUCCAUCAUAUAAAUUUAGCUUCUUUGUCAAAAAUCAGUUCAUAGAUGUGUGGGUUAAUAUCAGUGUUUUUAACUCAUUGGUCAACCUGUCUAUUAUGUACUCUCUAUCCAUAUCUUUUCAAUAUUGUAUUUGAAGUACUAGCUAGAGCAAUAAAACAAGGGGAUACAAAUUGGAAAGGAAGAAGUCAAACUUUCACUAUUUGCAGAUGAUAUGAUAGUUCACACAAGUGACCCGAAAAAGUCUACCAGGGAACUUCAACAGCUGAUAGACACCUCCAGCAAAGUGGCAGAAUACAAGAUUAACUCAAAAAAUAAAUAGCCCUACUAUAUACAUAUGAUAAAGCACUGAGAAAGAAGUCAGAGAAACAUCACUCUUUACAAUAGCAACUAACAACAUAAAAUAUCUUGGAGUAACAUGAACCAAAAAUGAGAAAGACCUGUAUAGUAAGAACUUUGAGUCUUUGAAGAAAGAAAUUAAAGAAGAUACCAGAAAAUGGAAAGAUCUCCCAUGCUCUUGGAUUGGUAGGAUCAACAUAGUAAAAAUGGCAAUCUUGCCAAAAGCAAUCUACAGAUUCGAUGCAAUCCCCAUCAAAAUCCCAACACAAUUCUUCACGGACCUUGAAAGAACAGUACUCAACUACAUAUAGAAAAACAAAAACCCAGGAUAGCCAAAACAACCCUGUACAAUAAAGGAAAUUAUUGUACAGGCAUCACUAUCCCUGUCUUCAUUCUCUAUUAUAGAGCCAUAAUCCUGAAAACAGCUUGAUAUUGGCACAAAUAUAUAAUUCCAUUUCAAUUAAAAUAUAUUUUAAAUGUUUUAUUUGUGUGAUUACAAUAUAAUUUAAAUUAUGUCAUGCUUUCAAGCUACGUUCUGACAUGUUCUCUUCUUCAUUUCCUGCCUUCAAGUUCCUGCCUUGAAUUCUUCCCUGACUCCCCUGAGUGAUGGACUAUAAGCUAUAAACUUAAGCAAACCCUGUCUCCCCAAGUUGCUUUUGUUCAUAGUGUUGUUUUGCAGAGAGAAAAAGCAAACUCUAGAGCACAUAAAAACUUGUUUAUAGGGGUGGUAUCUUUUCUGGUCACAAUUUGGAAGAAAAUAUCCAACCAGCAUAGCAACAAUCCUGAUAAGAGACUCAGGCAAGUUACUAGGUGUAUAUGGGAAGACACAGCCUGAGAGUCUGGCUCAGGUUUGAGGAAAAUACAAUCUCAUUCAGUUUCUCAAGGACCCUAGAAAAACUACUAUAAUAUACCAGGCAGUAGUGACCCCAUGGAUGGGAAGGGGUCUUUAGUAGGCCACUCCCCUUACAUCUCUAUAUCACCCCCUAUUGUCACACUAGGGUCAAUUUUCGAAUUCAUGAAACUGGAAGACACUUCAAACUAUCCUAAACCAUUGCAUUAACUAUAGUAUAAAAGUAUAAUGUUUGGCGUUAUCUGUCCUCAAAUAUCAAUAGAUUCCAUUAUUACUAAAUUAAUUUUUAUCUCCAGACCCUUUCAGUGGGUAGAAUUUAUAUGUUUCAUCAGCUGCAUUGUUUAAAUAUUCAAAUAUGCAAGUAUUUUAUAUAUAGUAUAUAUAAUAUAUACACAUUUAUGAGCAUGCCUAUCUGUAUUUGUAAAUGUGUAUGUGUCUGUAUAAGCACCAAUUUAAAGAUAUCUACCUCCACAUUUCAGUUUCAGUACACUCGAACCCAAAUUGAGGCUUUGGCUCUAUUAGUUAAAACAUGUUUUGGUGUGUCUUUCAAAUGUACUGGGUAAUGUUUCUAUCUCAUUUAUGUUAAGGCCAAUGGAUCCUUUCAGAGGCCUUAUUGCUUUUCACAGUGCCUAGACAUUUUAGUACAUUUAAGGAUGUUUUCAGUUGCAUUGGUUGAAGGGUGUCUGAUAACUUAGUCUCUUUAUUUGUAAAACAAAUUUAUGCAUUUUGAUCAUAUUCCCUUGCCAAACUCCUCUCAGAUACUCCUUUUGCCCUACCCACCCAAUGAAGGCGGUGACGUAAUGAGUUCACUAUACCCAAGAUAAAUGAUAAAUGGGUGUUUUACUAGGGAGCAACUUACAAAGAUAAUACUGUUGCGGCCUUCCUGAGGAUGCAAUCUCUGCGCUUCUGAUCUGAUCCAGGACAACAGAGAGGGAGGGAGAAGAUAGAGAGCCCCCAUGCCUUACCUUCUGGUCACACCUGAAGCCACACCCAAAGGGGCAAGGCCACCAACCCAAAUUCACUGGCAAGGAGUGCUACUACAGCCCAACUUCAUGUUCUCUCUCUCCAAAAGAAACAACAAACAAAAAAGUGAAAAUCAAAGUGAACAAAUAAAAACAUGAACAAAAAUAUAUUUUUUGGUUUUUUUCCUCCAUUUUUAUUUAAAUUAGAAACAAGAUUGUUUUACAUGUGAAUCCUAGUUCACUCUCCCUCUUCCUCCCCUCCUCCUCUGCCCCCCCCACUAACACCCUACUUAUUCUAUACCAUUUCUGAGUGAGGUAAUCCAGUCACAAAAAGACAAACAUGGUAUGCAGUCACUCAUAUAUGGAUUUUACACAUAGAGCAAAGGAUUACCAGCCUACAAUCCACACCACUAGAGAAGCUUAACAAAAAUAUAUUAAAACAAAAAAGUUCAUCAAAAUGAAAUGUGUCCCUGUACGCGUGCACACACACACACACACACACACACACACACACACACACACACACACACAAACUGACUUGUGUUGGCGGCCAACUAUUCCUGAGAAUGGGGACUGCCUGGCAGUGUGAUUGCUAUAUCCAGUAACACACCAUUUGGGAAGCAGAUUUUCCCUUUCCCAGGAGGGAUCAACUGCAAAUAGCAACUUUGUUAGGGAUAGGACUUUUUUUUCUACCUUCCUUUCUUAGUGCUGAUACUUUUUUCUGAUUUGAACCUAUGGAAAUCCCGCACAUGCUAUCAAGAAUUUUGUGAUGUGUGUCACUGUUUGUGUCUGGAAAACACUGUUUUCUUUGAGCCAUCACCCACCUCUGGCCCUUAUAAUCGGAUCUACCUCUUGAUUCCUGAGUCUAUUAUAAGAAUAGGCUUCUCUGAUGGAUUCCAGUUACACACUGAUAACACUGUGUUAUUAGAAGUCAUUAGAUCACUAUUUAACAGGAUAUUAGUAGUAGGUUUUAUCCAGGCCCAGGAUGACUGUCUUUAUGUGAGUUGAACAUUUUUGCUUACAGCCUUUAAUAUGAUUUCUUUGUUCUGAACAUUUAGGAUUUUGAUUACCAUGUGUCACGGGAACUAUUUAUUGUUCAGUAUAUCAAUAGUUGUUCAAUAGGUACCUCUUUCUUUUGAUUGGGAAAGUAUUCUAUUGUUUAGUUAAAAUUUUUCUCUACACCUUUGACCUGCAUUUUUUUCUCCCUCUGCUAUACAUAUUGUUGUUGUUUUGGUCCUUUCAUAAUGUCCAAAUUUUCCUGUAGUUUUACAUAUGGAUUUUCUCUUUUUUAGACUUCUUUUUAGAUUUUUUUGUCUUCAAGAUCUGAAAGUUUCUCUUUCAUGUCAUUUAAUCUGUUGGUGAGGCUUACAUUUGAGUUUUUAUUUGACAUUCUGAGUGUUUUCAUUUCCAGUUUUAUUUUGGUUAAUGUUUACUUUGGGGAUUUUGCUUCUUUGUUCAGCUCUCUUUUAAUUUCUUGAUUUGCUUUCAUUGUUUCAUUCAACUCUAUGUUUUCAGUCUUCAUUAAGGCACUUACUAAUAUCUUGUCAAAGGACCUUGUAUAUAUUCAUAGUUGUUAUUUUGAAGUCUUAGUCUUAUGCUUCAGUUAAAUUCAUUUUUUCAGGGUCUAUUACCAUAGAUUUUCUGGCUUCUGAAGGAAGAAUACUGUCUUGUUUUGUUCAUGUUCAUGUUUUUUUUCUCUGAGAUCUAAGCAUCUGGAAUCAUGAUGUUUCAAGUAUUCUCCUGUAGAUACCUUCUCUAAUCUUUUUUGGGUGGGUAUUCCUUUCUUAGGAUGCUGCUGUGUGGGGUCCCUUGGCGAGAAUGGUUCUGUAUUCACCACAAGUCACCAUGGAAAGGAACGGGCUAGAUGGAGAGACUGAAAGAAUGAAGCUACCUUUCAGAGUCAACAGAAUCUGAACUGUAACUUGAGCUGGCAUCCUUCUGACAGCAAAUUACUGGGUCACUUCCUCAGCUUUUGAAGUCAUCUCAUCAAUGCCAUGGACAAGAGGGACUACUGGCCAUGCAGUCCUGAGACCGGUGUCUGAAAGCAAAGCCAACAGCAAGAGCCGCAAUCAGGAGGGAGGAGAGAUUCCAAUGAUGAAUGGAUGAUGAUGAUGAAUUAUUUGGAUGGAUAUUUCAAAGACCAGGAAUGAGGUCACAUCAGAACACCAUCCCUUAGUGUCACACAAUUAUGUACUAACAUGUCAACAUCAAAGAUUUUUUGUUUUUGUCUUUGGCUGUCCUGGGACUCACUCUGUAGGCCACACUGGCCUCAAACUCACAGAGAUCCAACUGACUCUGCCUCUGGAGUGCUGGGAUUAAGGAUAUGUGCCACCACCUCCAAGCAACAUCAAAUAUACUUUAUGAUUACUUUGCACUAACUAAAAAUUCUUAUACAUCUAUGCAGACUGAUAGUGUGAUUUUAUUUUCAUGAUUUUUGUUGUUGCUUGUUUGUUGGUUGGUUUUUCAACAAAAUGGACAUGUCCUCAAUCCUUCCAGACAGCAAACACUGGAUAAAUAAGUAAUGUCACUGGUAAUGGCUAAUGACAAAUACAUCAGUGGUGAAUGUUUGUUGGACAGAAUGUAAUUUAUUUGACAAAACCAAUUAGAAAAGAAAGUAUUCUGGAAUCAGCUCACACUUCCUAAUGGGAUAAUCAGUAUUGACCUUUGAGAGAUCCUGCAAGUAAAUAUAUUUAAGAUGUUUAAUAUACAUCUGCUACCAGUGUUUCUUCUUAAAUGAAAUCAAAGGAUUGUACUUUGAUCACAUGCCCUCUUAAAACCAUUCAAAAAUAGUAGUGUGAAUUCAAGCGAGCAGCUGCUUCUGUUCACAGAGACAAUACUGACAUCCCCACAGACUUUCUUAAGUAAAAUCUCUAUGACUCAGAAUCAUUAUAGUAGUUUCUUGAGUCAGUCAUAUUAAUGUAUCAUAUUUUCCUAACACACUCUUAUGCUGACUUCAUGACAACAGACAAGAAAGAAGAAAAAUAAUUAUUAGGAAUUUGCCUUAUUUGGAAUUUGCCAAAAUAUUUAGGAAUUUGCCAAAAUAUUUGACUUCAGCAACUUGACUACUAAAUCAACAUUGGGACCUGGUCUCUGGUUAAAAUUGUACAGAAUUAUCUCAUGCCAUAGGAGUAUCUCACAUAAAUGUGUUUUUUCACUCUCCAAGUAGAUGAAAAUUAAUUCAUAAUGUUUCACCUUAAGAAGAAAUCAAUGAAUGAUUUUUUAUUAAUUUGUUACAUAAUAGAUUAUAUUAUUUUGGCUUGAGCAGCAAAUAUCCCUCUUAGAUUCAUGCAUAAGAAUGCUUGAUCCCGCCGGGCGUUGGGGGCACACCCCUUUAAUUACAGCACUUGGUAGGCAGAGUCAGGCGGAUCUCUGUACGUUCAAGGCCAGCCUGGUCUCCAGAGCGAGUGCCAGGAUAGGCUCCAAAGCUACACAGAGAAACCCUGUCCCAAAAAACAAAAAAACAAACAAACAAAAAAAAAAACAAAGAAUGCUUGAUCUCCAGAUGAUGGCACUGUUUAGGAAGCUUUUAAAACCUGUCCAAAGUGGAGCCUCACUAGAGGAAGUAGGUCAUUAUAGGGAGGUCUUAUAGACUAGGUCCACUUCCUGUUUUCUCUUUGCUUCCUGACUGCAGAUGCAAUGUUACCAACAGCCUGUUGCUCUCACUAACAUGCUAUUCCCACCAUAGUGGACCCUAAAUGACCUCUCAAGCUGUAAGACAAGAUAAAUGCUCCCCCCUUGAGUUGUGGCUUGCCAGGUGCCUUGCCACAGCAAUAAGGAAAGUAAUACAGAAAAUGUUGUUUCUCUCCUAAAGGGGUGACCCAAGACCUUCUAAGACACUUGUGGAGAGUGAAAGAAUUACAAGGGUGUAGUAGAAGAAAUACAUAGAGGUACCAAUUAAGGACAAUUACAGAAACAAGGACUGAGACUGCCAUGAAUGUUCUACCUUAUUUUGUUAAGAAAUGUAUUGUGUAUAUACAAAUAUAUUAAACAGAUAUGUGUGUAUUCUUUCCUUGAUUUACCUUCGUAAGAUUGUAUUUUAAUUAUAACAUUUCUUCCUUCCCUCCCCCCUGCAGACCCUCCCAUAGGCCCCUCCUCACUCUCUUUCAAACUCAUGGCCAAUUCUUUUAUCAAUUAUUAUUGAAUAUACAUUUAUUUGUAUAUACAUAUAUAUUCCUAAAUAUAACCUCUUGAGUCCAUAUAUUCUAUACUUUCAGGUCUCAUUAUUUAGCACUGAACAAUAAAUUGGUAUGCUUUUCUGAGGAGGAUAACCUCUCCAAUGUCCAGCUUUACUCAGUUGCCUAUAGUUCUUUAUGUAGAGGUAAGGCCUUGUGGGAUUUUCCCUAUCCAGUUUGUCCUAUUCAAUGGUGUCUUCCUUGUUCAGCUCCCAUUUGGGUAGCCAUGUUAGUGAGACUUUACAGGAUAAAGAAAAUAUGGUGCAUUUACAUAACAGAGUGUUACUCAGUGGGAAAAAAAUGAAAUCUUGAAAUUCUAAACUAAAGGGAUGGAACUAGAAGAAACCAGAUGAGUGGAGCAAUGGGUUUUAUUAAUUGGAUUUCAAAUGCUUGACCUCACUUAAUAUUUAGAAUAAAUCUUCCUUGUUAUGGAUGAUAUAUUUAUGUUUUCAGUUAGAUUGAGCUGUAUCUUAUUUUGAAAAUUAAUACAUCAGAGAAUAUUAUUGACCUUCCUUUAUUUAAUCCUUACUUAUUUUUAUAUGAUCUUAUGGUAAUUCUGGUCUUGUAGACUGAAUUAAAAAUCAUUCAGUCUUCCUCUAGAUUCUGAGGAAUCUCCAUACUGAUUUCCAAAGUGGUUGUACAAGUUGGCACUCCCACCAGCAAUGGAGGAGUGUUCCCCUUUCUCCACAUCCUCUCCAGCAUAAACUGUCAUUGGUGUUUUUGAUUUUAGCAAUUCUGACAGGUGUAAGAUGCUAUUUCAGAGUUGUUUUGAUUUGAAUUUCCCUGAUGGCUAAGGAUGUUGAGCAAUUUCUUAAGUGUCUUUCAGCCAUUUUAUAUUCCUCUAUUGAGAAUUGUCUAUUUAGUUCUGUGCCCCCCUUUUAAUUGAGUGAGGUAACCCAAUCACAGAAAGACAAACAUUGUUUGUACUCACUCGCGUAUGGAUUUUAGACAUAGAGAAAAGAUUUACCAAUCUACAAUCCACACCUCCAGGGAAGCUAGCAAACAAGGAGGACCCUAAGAGAGAUGUACAUGGUCCCCCAGAGAAGGGGAAAGGGACAAGAGCUCCUGAACAUAUUGGGAGCAUGAGGGUUGGGGGAGGUAGGAGAAAUAGGGGUGAGAAGAAGAGGGGAGAGGAGACCAUGAGGUAUCAGGAAUAUUGAGUCAAGAGAAAAAUAGAGGAGAGCAAAAAAAGAGAUACCUUAAUAUAAGGAGCUGUUAUAGGUUUAAAGAGAAAUCUGGCACUAGAGAAAUGUUCAGAAAUCCACAAAGAUGACCCCAACUAAGAAACUAAGCAAUAAUGGAGAGGCUAUCUUAAAUGUCUUUCCCCUAUAAUGAGAUUGGUUACUACCUUAAAUGCCAUCGUAGAGCCUUCAUCCAGUAGCUGAUAGAAACAGAAGCAGAGAUCCGCAGCUAAGCACUGAACUAAACUCCUGGAAUCUAGAUGUAGAGAGGGAGGAGUGAUGAACAAAGGGGUCAAGACCAUGCUUGGAAAACCCACAGAAACAGCUGACCUGAGCAAGUAGUAACUCAGGGACCCCAGUCUGACAGCUGGGGAAUCAGUAUUGGAUUGAACCAGGCUCCCUGAACAUGAGUGUCAGUUAGGAGACCUGGCAGUCUAUGGGGACUCUGGCAGUGGAACCAGUAUUUAUCCCUAGUGAAUGAAUGGAUUUUGGGAGCCCAUUCCCCUAGGAUAGAUACUCUCUCAGCCUAGAUACACAGGGGAGGGCCUAGGCCCUGCCCCAAAUGUUGUGACAGACUUUGAUAAUCCCCCAUGGAAGGCCUCACCCUCCCUAGGGGGUGGAGGGGUGUGGUAUGGAGGAGUUAAUCGGAGAAUGGGAGGGAGAGGGAACUGGGAUUCAUAUGUAAAAGAAGAUUCUUUCUAGUUUAAAUAAAUUUUGUAAUAAAAAUAAAACCCAUUGCAUUGACAAACUAAACAAAAAUAUACAUAAGCAGCUUAUUCAUAUAUAGGUCACACUAUUCAUAAUAAAAAAGAAAAUCUGCCAGAAAACUUAGAAUUGAGACAAAGUUCAUGAGCUUAAUAAGAACAAUCUAGGAAAAUACUUUCAGGAAACAUCCAUUACCCUUCAUAGGAAACUAGAUUUUGUCUAAAUGUGAAGGGAAGCAAAGAAUGAAUGUGUCCAAUUGUGUUCAACAGCAUUCUAGAAGUUCUAGAUAACACAAUGAAACAUGAAACACACACACACACACACACACACACACACACACACACACAAUGAAAAGUGAAACUGUGUUAUAGAUGAAUAAAUACGAUAGAUAUAUGUACAAAUAUAUACUUAUUUGUGUACAAAACUUCCAGCUGUGCAUGGUGAUGCACGCCUUUAAUUCCAGAACUCAU